CAUAGAUUACUGAUCCUCAUCACAAGAGGAUUACAAGGAAAAGAUACCGGAGCGUCGAGUGGACAAGCCGGUGGCGAUUCGCGUUGAAGGGCGUGCACUAAAGGUGACAAUGGGGAUCUUACGGAUGGCGAUCAAGCA